ensembl:lncRNA
AUUUUUCCGAGCCUUCAGGACAGAAGCUGAUGAGGGAAUGUUUAUAGCUGCUAUAACAAAGACACAAAAGUGACACAUUCGGGGCCCCUGUAAUGGCACGUACCAUUUCCUACCUUACUUUCAAAAACAACUGAACAGUAAACAGAACUUUUAAUAAACAGCAGCUCCUUGGCAUGUAGCAUCACGUGUCAGGCUGUAAGUUUCCACAGUGCCACUCCUGAUUGCCGUGGAUAUGAUGGCUGCAGGUUGAUGAUCGUGGUCUGAAGGAUGGGAUGAGAUGAGUCCUUGAAGGCCACGACAUCGUGGGUGGCAGAAACCGGUUUAUUUCUAAACAUCACAUCCAGGUCUCUAAUCUCAUCCUAACUGCAUGACGGCGAAGAUGGUCAGAAUUACCAGUCCUUGCUAGUAAGCAAUACUUCGUUACACUGAAACCGUU